AUCCUUUUGUGGUUAAGUGUGAUGAUUGGGUUUUCACACUUAUGCAUGAGAUGAGCCUUUCUCAUACCUUUUUAGGACAUCAGCACAUGUACUUGUUUGACA